rnacentral:lncRNA from 1 species
UGAGGACCUGAGGCACAGAUGCUAACCAGCUUGCUGGAGAUCACACACUCAUGAGUGGCAGAGUGGGGCUUGGAACCGGGUAGCCUGGCUCUGGAGCCCUCACUCCAUCCACACACCAUGCUGGGACCCAGUCGAGUGACCAGCAGACCGGUUGUGUGGGUUAGGUGGAAUGGUGGAUAUAAACCACACAGCCCAGCUCCUGACCCAUGCUGGGCCCUCAACUUAAUUGCUGCCUAGAGCUCAUAGAAGGAUCUCACAGCACUGCUCCAGGGCACUGAAGCUUACAGUGAAAGCACAUUUUCAGCAAGUACUGAAGAUUGUCUCCACGUUGGCUGGUUUGAAACUGUGAUCUUUUGAAUGUAAUCCAGGAAAGGAAUGGAAAGGAAAGAAGUGCUCAGAAAGCUCCCAGAAGCAUUUUGGCACUCACCAAAGCAGCCGGAAGAUGAAUAACACAGUGGGGAUAGAUGGCUAACAAGAAGCCCCUCUCCGGAUGCCGGCCCCUCUUGGACUUCCCAGCUUCCAGAAUUGUGUAUGUUUAAGCUCAGGCUGGAAAAGGAUCACUGAAAGUCACUUGGAUGGUGUCUCGUGUGUCUGUGAUGAGCUUGCUGUUGCUUUCUUUCUCCUUGACAGAUGAGAAAACAGUGGCUUCAAAGGUUAAACAACUUGUCUUCGAUUGCACAGCUAACAAGAG